rnacentral:rRNA from 1 species
GACGAACGCUGGCGGCGUGCUUAACACAUGCAAGUCGAACGGAAAGGCCCUGCUUUUGUGGGGUGCUCGAGUGGCGAACGGGUGAGUAACACGUGAGUAACCUGCCCUUGACUUUGGGAUAACUUCAGGAAACUGGGGCUAAUACCGGAUAGGAGCUCCUGCUGCAUGGUGGGGGUUGGAAAGUUUCGGCGGUUGGGGAUGGACUCGCGGGUUAUCAGCUUGUUGGGGGGGUAGUGGCUUACAAAGGCUUUGACGGGUAGCCGGCAUGGGAGGGGGACCGGGCACAUGGCGACUGCGAGACGGCGCAGACGCGUACGGGAGGCAGCAGGGGGGAGCAUGGCACAGUGAGCGGAAGCCAGAGGUAGCAACGCUGCGUGCGGGAUGCUGGGUUUCGGGUGAUAAACCGCUGUGUCCGGUGACGAAGCGUGAGUGACGGUAACGGGUAAAGAAGCACCGGCUAACUACGUG